GAUGAACGCUAGCGGCAGGCUUAACACAUGCAAGUCGAGGGGUAGCAGGUCUUCGGACGCUGACGACCGGCAAACGGGUGCGGAACACGUACGCAACAUACCCUUUACAGGGGGAUAGCCCGGAGAAAUCCGGAUUAACACCCCAUAGUAUAUUUGAGAGGCAUCUCUCGAUUAUUAAAAUUUAUUGGUAAAGGAUUGGCGUGCGUCCCAUUAGAUAGUUGGCGGGGUAAUGGCCCACCAAGUCAGCGAUGGGUAGCUGGUGUGAGAGCACGACCAGCCACACGGGCACUGAGACACGGGCCCGACUCCUACGGGAGGCAGCAGUGAGGAAUAUUGGUCAAUGGACGCAAGUCUGAACCAGCCAUGCCGCGUGGAGGAUGACAGCCUUCUGGGUUGUAAACUUCUUUUAUAUGGGAAGAAAAGUACGGUUUCUACUGUAUCCGACGGUACCAUAUGAAUAAGCACCGGCUAACUCCGUGCCAGCCGCCGCGGUAAC
rnacentral:rRNA from 1 species